AGAGUUUGAUCCUGGCUCAGAUUGAACGCUGGCGGCAUGCCUUACACAUGCAAGUCGAACGGCAGCGGGGACUUCGGUCCGCCGGCGAGUGGCGAACGGGUGAGUAAUAUAUCGGAACGUACCUUUCAGUGGGGGAUAACGUAGCGAAAGUUACGCUAAUACCGCAUAUUCUGUGAGCAGGAAAGCAGGGGAUCGCAAGACCUUGCGCUGAUUGAGCGGCCGAUAUCAGAUUAGCUAGUUGGUGAGGUAAAGGCUCACCAAGGCGACGAUCUGUAGCGGGUCUGAGAGGAUGAUCCGCCACACUGGAACUGAGACACGGUCCAGACCCCUACGGGAGGCAGCAGUGGGGAAUUUUGGACAAUGGGGGCAACCCUGAUCCAGCCAUGCCGCGUGAGUGAAGAAGGCCUUCGGGUUGUAAAGCUCUUUCGGCCGGGAAGAAAUCGCACGGGCUAAUACCCUGUGUGGAUGACGGUACCGGAAUAAGAAGCACCGGCUAACUACGUGCCAGCAGCCGCGGUAAUACGUAGGGUGCGAGCGUUAAUCGGAAUUACUGGGCGUAAAGCGUGCGCAGGCGGUUUAGUAAGACAGGCGUGAAAUCCCCGGGCUCAACCUGGGAACUGCGCUUGUGACUGCUAAGCUAGAGUACGGCAGAGGGGGGUGGAAUUCCACGUGUAGCGGUGAAAUGCGUAGA
rnacentral:rRNA from 1 species